UACGGAGGGGGCUAGCGUUGUUCGGAAUUACUGGGCGUAAAGCGCGCGUAGGCGGCUUUGUAAGUUAGAGGUGAAAGCCCGGAGCUCAACUUCGGAAUUGCCUUUAAGACUGCAUCGCUUGAAUCAUGGAGAGGUCAGUGGAAUUCCGAGUGUAGAGGUGAAAUUCGUAGAUAUUCGGAAGAACACCAGUGGCGAAGGCGACUGACUGGACAUGUAUUGACGCUGAGGUGCGAAAGCGUGGGGAGCAA
rnacentral:rRNA from 1 species